UACAGAUGGUGAUAACUCAGCUAAGACAAAUCAUGUCUGAUGUGAUGCUCGAGAAGAUCAAAGAAUCCAGCGUUCUCCUUGCCAAUUCGUCGAUGAUUGCGAUUUGAAGCGAAGAGAUCAAGCUAUAGUAGAGGUGUAUGGUUUUUAGUAGUUUUACUUCAAAGACCAUGUAGCGAUAACUUUUGUUCUCUUAUAACCUCGAUCAAUCCAUUCUAUUUACAACCAA